GUUCUCCAUCCUUACGAAUAUUUCCCUGACUUCGCGCCCAGAAAGGAACAUUGAAAAAAAAGCGCUUUGAUCACUUGCGUGAACGUCAGGUCGUACACUGACUGACUCGUCCCCAGGUCAACACGUAACCAAAAGACGAUCAGUAAAAAGUUAUACAAUCGACCAGUGGAAACCCAGUGUAUAAGACUUCAUAUAUAUACAUAUGAUAUAUUUUUUACAUGAUAUAUCUUAUAUCGAAUUAGAACGGGGAGAAGAAAAAAACACGACAAGCUUCGUACAUUGUACAAGUUGACCGAAACGACAUCACCGGAAGUUACAACUUUCAAAGAAGUCAUUUAUGAUUUAAAGAUUUGUGAAUGGAAAUCAAUAGCAUCGGAAUGAAAAAGGACUACGGGGUAACGGAUGACACUCUGAGAUUGAGAACCCAAAAGGUACAUGCUGUGCAAGAAAGAUGUAAACAUGCGAAUUCCUAAAUGUACUAAAUAUUAAAACAUCAACUGCAAUCUUCAGUGGUGACAUCCAAAAGUUGAUAUGCCAUUGGUACUUCAAGUGAUACGACCGUGACAUUGGAAAAUCCUUUUAACUUAUCAUCACUUGAGCCUGAAUUGCAAUCCUUUUGAUACAGACAUUUUUUUUAAGUUCAGUUUCGAACAUUAAUGCCGCUGUGUCAUCUCUGGAAAUGGAAAAGCCUACCACAGAAUCUGAUGAAUUUUUGAACAUUCUUUCACAAAAAGGGAUCUUCUUUAUUUUGAAGAAGGUAGCCCAGGAACUGGAAAUCUGUUAUCAAAAUGAUCUUAAUAAUACACUGGACAUUAUUCUAACCUUAAAAAAAACAUGACAAACCCGAUUGAACUCCUGUGAUGAAGCAUCUCAAAACUCGAAUUAUGGUAGUCUUUCAAGUGACAUUGAGGAUUUCAAUAGCGCAUUUGACAGUAAAGUGAUUUUUAUUUAAGUUCAGAUUGUUGUCAUUAUAAAUUUAUAAGAAGUGUUCUCAUAGCCAACAUUUCUCAAGUCUACUUUUGAUGAAAUAUAGUCUUUUCUAUUACAACUUAUUAUGACAUGAUUGUUGUUGUAUACAUAAAUGUUCUUAUCCACGAAUCAUUCACUGUUCUUAUAGGGUUUUUUUAGCCUGAACUAUGUAGCAGUGACAUGUCAAGGUAAUCCAGAAAAUGUAAAAUCUUUUUUUUUUGAUAUGACAAGGAUUUAAUUUUGUAACAAUUAAUAUCUAAAAGUCCUGUAACCCUCAUUAAAGUCCUUUAUAAUCUGA